GACAGAGGGUGCGAACGUUGUUCGGAAUUACUGGGCGUAAAGCGCAUGUAGGCGGCAGCGCAAGUCGGGCGUGAAAUCCCACGGCUCAACCGUGGAAGUGCACUCGAAACUGCGCAGCUAGAGUCCUGGAGAGGAAGGUGGAAUGCUUGGUGUAGAGGUGGAAUUCGUAGAUAUCAAGCGGAACACCGGUGGCGAAGGCGGCCUUCUGGACAGUGACUGACGCUGAGAUGCGAAAGCGUGGGGAGCAAACAGG
rnacentral:rRNA from 1 species